UUGACCCAUUUCCCUUUUUUCUGUGCACAUCGUAUCCUUUUGUAUGGUGUUUCGAGUUGAGGCAAGGCAUUGUUUUGCUUAUGAAAGUUUGGUAGAAUUUUUGUGUUUAUCUGCUUGUGAAUGUGCAUUGAGGGAUUUUGUUUUUGAUUGAGAUUGUGGCGAGGCAAUACGGAGCUCUAUGGGAAGUAGAACAUGUAGAUUGCAGUGAUGGAUUCUUUUUUGCUGUAAAGGAGGAUUCAUUAAUCGAUCAAGGAAGCUAGGGAAAGCAGAGGUUUUUUACAACUUAAGCAGUGGGAAAGAAAUAUAAAUCACUAUUACACAAUGGAGAAUGCUGAUGUUGUCUGGGCAGAGUGGGCAAAGUAUGUUCUUAAGUUCAAAGAUAACUAGUGUGUAGGUUAACUAGUAGUUGGAGAUAUGUAGCAUCAGCUUUUGGACAUGCAUAGUUGAUAUAUAGGCCAGAUUUUGAUUGCAGUACUGCUAGCUAUUUUGCUAUGUUGUUUAGUUGGUUGCUCAGAUUGUGUAUUGCUUCUGGUUUAUUAGCUUGCAGUAUUGCAUGCAUAUAUUUUGCUGGCUGCCCAGAUUAGUAGAUAUGGGCCAUUUAGAACUGAUGCUGAUGAUUAGGUUUGUGUACAUGAGACAAUGGUGGAUUAAUGGGAAUUGCAAUGAAUGAUUUUGGA